GCAUAACAUAUGCCCUCUUUUUGUCAACUGCUCUGUAUUUUAGGUUUUGUUUGAAGACUGUUCAACUUUUCAAAUCUAAUUCAGUUUCUCGCCCAAUUUUUCAAAUCCUGCGUGCCUCAAGGUCAGUAAAUUUUUUGGAUAUGUAUGUCGUAGUCUUGGUUUCAUGGUUUUAAAUUUGUUUACAUUACUUUUUCUUCUAAAAUUGUUGUAGUCAAUGCUGUUGUGGUUGCUUUGGAAAUACUGCCCUUCGACCUACAGUUUCAGAAUUCUAUAUACUUUGUUUUGCAUCCGAAUCAACAGAGUGAGGGUUUGCGAAGAAGCGUACAAAAUUCAACUUUACGUCUGCAAAAUACUCUUCAACUUCUCGCAACAAAUUUACUUUUUACGGCACUUUGACAUGGAAGAUAAGAAAAAUCUCGGAAGAAAAAAUAGAAUAUGCAUACAAAAGCAGAAACAGGCUAAAUUUUCGUUGAACGGUAUGAAAUUUAACAUUUAACAUUAUAUAUAUAUAUAUAUAUAUAUAUAUAUAUUAUUGUUAAAGCUCUGUUGCUCCAAUGUUAUCAUCAUUCCAACUACUCAAAUCCUCAAACACUUCAUGAAUAUUGAAACAACAAUAACAAAUUUAAUAUAAUUUUAUACAAAAUGAGAUUUAGAAACACAUUAUGUAACUAUUCUUUUUAAAAUAGUUAUUGUUCAAGUGGUUUGAGAACAAUUCAAAAGAUUUUUUUUUUUGGACAAGGGAUACUAUUAAUAUCACUAUGUAACACUUAAGUCGCUGUUGGAACUUCUUAGACGCUAUUAUUAAAAGUCGAGUUUUCUAAUUUCUACAUAUUUCAUCUAAGAAGCUCCAUAAUAUUGAUGAAUGGGUUAAUCUUUAAUAAAAUACUAGUAUUAUAACACAUAUAUGAGUAUCAACCAUGUCCCAUGGGAUGUCACCACCAACAAAUAAUCCACAAUUUGCAAAUCAAAAGGCAAGCCGUACAAGUAUUUACCUAAUUAGUUUGUCGUAUCAAUACUAGAAAGGUUGUAGUGGGGACUAUCGUAUCUUUUUUAUUUUGGUCAUUUCAUAUUUUAUUUAGGUAACGGCCAUUUGAGACUACAAAGGACAGUUACAUAAAAAUAACCCUUUACUUACACAUAACAUGCAUUCAUCAACAGUAGUGUUCAAGCAUUAGAACAUUUGUUUGUACUAAAUAUAAAUAGUUUAUUACUAGUUAGGAUUUAUAGUAACAAGAUGCUCCUUUUGAAUUUGCAGUUUCAUUUAUUUUCUGAUAUACUAGCUACGUGACUCAUAUAUGUAUUUUUUUUAAAAUACAAAUUAUAUAAGUAAUAAUAGUUUGUACUUAAAGGCGUAAUAAAUAUUGUUAUUCUUUGUUUCGUCCUUUAUUAUUAAGGAACUUCCACCUAACCUACCAAAGUAAAGUAGUGCUAUACGAACUUCCACAGGCAUUUCUGCAUCUAGAUAUUUUGAAAGAAGUAAUUUCUGUAUACCUAUCAAACCAUGGAACUUAAAUUUAAGAAAAGCCAAUUUCUAACAUUAUUCUGAAGAGUGUUCCUGGGACUCACCUCGAGCCAAAACAACCCUACAUUUCUUUACGAUGAGAUUUUGAAAAAAAAAGAAAACAAACAAACAAACUUAAUAGACAUAUGAGAAUAAAUUGCCACUUGAGCUAAGAUCUUCUCAUGAACAUAUUUGCAAAUUCUCCUGCUGGAGACUAGCUAGUAGCCUGUUUGGAAGUGCUUUUUUCAAAAAUGUUAUAAAAGAAAUUUUAGUGACAAAUAAUUUGUAUUUGACUAAUCAAUUUGAAAAGUAUUUUUGAGUACAGUUAGUGUUUGAACAACAACAAGAAACCUAACAUAAUCCUACAAGCAGGAUCUGAAAAGGGUAGUGAAUAUCCAAAAUUUACCCCUAUCAUGAAUGUAUGGCACAAGAAAAAAAUACUUCUAAGUAAAUAUUUUUUUCAAAAGUGUUAUUAAAAGGUGUCUUUAGGAAUAAGCUAUAUUUUUAGGCUUCUUAAAAUAGAGUUCCAGUUUAUCAUUGCAUAGAGUUCCAGCAGUGAUUGUUCAUGCCCAGUCAUAGAGUAUGCCAAUUGUAAGAAAUUGUUAACGGAACAUAUUUCGGAAUGUUUAAUCUACGAAUGUCCCCUCUGUGGUGAAGAUAAUGAUUGCGUUAACCUAUUUCCAAAACCAGCAUCAAGAUUCCAGGGAUAAUCCGCUAAGAUUUCCCAGAACAAAAAUCUGACGAAAGUUGCACUGAUGGAUCCCAAUACAAGCUGGACCAUUUUAGCAGUGAUGAAAGUUUCGCUGAUGGAUCCCAAACAAAAAUCUAAGGAUGACACAACUCAAUGAGAUGGAUGCGUUCCAUUUCCAAACUUGUAUAAGAAAGGAUGAAGUCUCUUCAUGAUAAGAAGAUCUUGAAGCGGGAAUUCAAAUCCGGCGACUUGGUCUUGCUCUUCAACACAAGGUUGAAGUUCUUUCCAAGCAAACUCAACUUCAAAUGGUCUGGCCUAUUGAAAAUUGUUAGUGUAUCUUCCUAUGGUGCCGUUGAAUUAGAGUCCGAAGAUAGGACUCGAACCUUCAAAAUAAAUGGCCAAAGGGUAAAGCACUACCUCGGAACCAUUGGAGAAAUUAAGGCAACUGAUGGAACAACUCAAACUCAAAGAUGGUCCUGUACCAAUCUCCACAACUGAUCAGCCAAAACGGGUAACGUCGUCGUACCGUGACGUUAAAUCAAGCGCUUCUUGGGAGGUAACCAUGUGUUGAAAAUGUUUUUGGUUAGACUGUCUCUGUAGGUUUAUUUGUCUUUGUAGAAUAUUUUGAUGUGUGUGUUUUAGAGUGCAGGGUACUCAAAAUGCAGAUAUCAAAAUGUGCUACAAAGACAAAUAAUCCUACAAAGACAAAAAUCUAACCAAAAACAUUUCCAACACAUGGGUUGUCUCUCAAAAAGCGUUUGAUUUGACGUCGCAGCACGACGACGUUAAUCCUUUUUUGGCUAAUUAGUUGUGGAGGUUGGUACAGAACCAUCUUUGAGUUUCAGUUGUUCCACCAGCUUUGAGCAUCCUUUUCAAAGAGCUUGCACACGGGGCUUGUAAUCUUUGAGAAGUCUUUGAUAAAUCGCCAAUAGAAAUCGGCAUGCCACAAAAAGCUCCGAACACCUUUGACCAAAAUGGGAGGAGAAAGCUUGGAAAUUACUUCAAUUUUUGCUUGAUCAACCUCAUUGCGUUGCUUGGAGACUUUUUGGCCAAGAACAAUAUCUUCACCCACCAUGAAGUGACAUUUUUCCCAAUCGAGCAUAAGGUUGAUGGAAUCUCCAAUUACCUCACAUCUUUUAAGUAUUUGCCUAAAAUUAUCAAGGCAAUGUUUGAAGGAAUCUCCAACUAACGAGAAGCCAUCCAUGAAUAUCUCCAAGAAAUCCUCCAUCCUGUCCAAUAAAAUCGACCUCAUGCACCUUUGAAAGGUAGCUAGGGCAUUACAUAACACUAACGACAUCCAGCUAAAAGCAAGGGUCAUAUAAGGACAUGUGAAUAUCGUCGUCUAUUGGUCCUCCAAUGCUAUGUUGAUUUGGUUGUAGCCGGAGUAACCAUUCAAGAAGCAAUAAAACGAUAUUUCCGCUAGUCGAUCAAGCAUUUGAUCAUAAAAGCCAUAGGGAAAUGGUCUUUGUAAGUAACACUAUUGAGCUUUCCGGAGUCCAUGCUAACUCUCCACCCGGUCACUGUCCUAGUUGGAAUGAGUUCAUUUUUGCCAUUUUAAAUCAUAGUCAUGCCUCCCUUCUUUGGCACACAUUGCACCGGACUCAUCCAAGGACACAAUCGGCAAUGGGGUAGACAACCUCCUUUGAUGCUUCACUAUAUGUUUGCUAUAUUUCUCAAGUUGGAUUUUUUGUUCACAAAUACUGGCGGGAAUCCCUCGGAUAUUCGCUAUUGUCCAACCAAUGGCUCAUCUAUACUCCCUCAAUGUCUCCAAUAAUUUCUCAACGUGCACAUCAUUUAACAAGAAUGUAUGGCACAAGAACAAGCAUUUGAUCAUAAAAGCCAUAGGGAAAUGGUCUUUGUAAGUAACACUAUUGAGCUUUCCGGAGUCCAUGCUAACUCUCCACCCGGUCACUGUCCUAGUUGGAAUGAGUUCAUUUUUGCCAUUUUAAAUCAUAGUCAUGCCUCCCUUCUUUGGCACACAUUGCACCGGACUCAUCCAAGGACACAAUCGGCAAUGGGGUAGACAACCUCCUUUGAUGCUUCACUAUAUGUUUGCUAUAUUUCUCAAGUUGGAUUUUUUGUUCACAAAUACUGGCGGGAAUCCCUCGGAUAUUCGCUAUUGUCCAACCAAUGGCUCAUCUAUACUCCCUCAAUGUCUCCAAUAAUUUCUCAACGUGCACAUCAUUUAACAAAGAGGAAACAAUUACAGGUAGAGUUUUAUUAGAGCCAAGAAAUUUAUACCUUAGGUGUGGUGGUAGUGGCUUGAGUUCAAGUUUUGGUGGCUCAACGAUUGAAAUCUUGGUCGGAGGAGUGACUCUAUUCUCCAAGUCAAGAGAAAGCUUCUUUGGUGCAUAAGCGUAUGAACCAAGCCCUUCCAAUGCGUUCACCGUCUCCACAUAUCCUUCUACGUCCUCACCAUCAAAAUGCAUCAAGAUCUCCGCCAAUGCAUCAUCGAGUCUUUCCUCUUCCAUCUUUACCUCAUCAAGUAGCGUGAUACUCUCGUAUGCAUUUGGCAAUUCAAGCCCUUACUUGCUUGAAAGGUAACUUCAUCAUUAUUAACCCAGAAUUUAAUCUCAUUUCUUUUCGAUUUCAUGGGUGUUCUCGCGGUAUGAUAGGGAUCUCUUUAUCAAUUUCACAAUCAAGAAUAACGAUGUCGGCAGGGAGGAGGAACUUCCCCACCUUCACAAGCACAUCAUCUACUAUCCCCACUAGCUGCUUCACCGCACGGUCGGCCAUUUGCAACCUCAUACUCGUAGGCCUAGGCAUUCCCAAUCUCGCAUGUUUGUAGAUAAUAAGAGGCAUUAAAUUGAUGUUAUCCCUCUUAUCACAAAGAACUUGUGCAAAGUCACGUAAUUCAAUAGUGCAUGGAAUGGUGAAAACCCCUGGAUUCUCUUUCUUUUGGAUGGCGAUAGUUGAAAUGAUGGAACUAAUCUAGUGGGUGACACUCACCGUUUAAUUCUAGAUGGUAUACUUUUUUCUGAUCAAAUCAUUCAAGUAUUUAACAUAAUCAAGUACCUUUUGAAACGCUUCCACAAACGGAAUGUUAACCGAUAAUUAUUUUAAGAUGUCAUAGAACUUCUCAAAUUUGCUAUCAUCAACUCUUUUGGCUAGUCAUUGAGGAAAUGGAGGGAAGAUCUAGGAAUCGGUGCUAGAGGUUUUGGUGCCCCUAUUACGUUUUCCUCAACCUUUUCAUGGCUCAAAUCUUAAGCUUUCACCUUCUUCGAAAUUCUCUCAACUUCAACAACAAUAAGGCACCUCAACUCGUGCCUCAUCUUCUUGUUCAACAUCUUCUACUUCAACCACUUGUUAACUAUCACAUUUAAGUGGUUUCCCACUUCAAGUUGUAAUGGCCAUACAAUGAGAGGUUGGGCCACUCCCACUACGCUUUGGGUUCGCAAUUAUAUCACUUGGGAGUGUGCCUUUUUAUUUUGGGGUUUGUUCUCUUGAGAGAUCCUCAUUUGCAUCUCCAACUUUUGAAUAGAAGCGGUGUGAGAACCCACAAUCUCGGUCAUGUUUUAAUCUAAAUGUCAGGUCUCUCUUGGUUAUGUUCUCCAUUUUGGAAUUGCUCGAAGAACUCUCCUUGAGAGUUAGAGUAUUUCCGCUUUGGUGGAACACAGGGAUUUGAACUCCGAUCUGGAAAAUUGUUAUUGUUGUUCCAAUUUCCUUGAUUAGAACUAACUUGGCCGUUUCGCAUUGUUGGUUACUUUGCCUUUGCGGGUUAGGUCUCCAGUAGUGUUGUUGUCCCGACCCUUAGUAGUUCUGUCUUUGAUAGCCUCCCUGUGAAUUGUUAACAUAGUUUGCUUCUUUGUAUUGCAUUGGAGGAUAGUCUUCUUGUUGGCUUUCUUGAUGUUGAUUAUUAGCAUUUGACAUUGGUUGUACUUCUUCCACAACAUUCACUUUCUUUAUUUGGCUUUCCGGGAAUAUUUUUGUCAACACAUUGACAAUGGUGGCAAGCCCGACAAUUAAUUCAUCUCUUUCUUGGUUUUCCUUGACCAUGUUGGUCAAAGAAGAGGUACCAUAUGAGACUCCACCCAUGAUGUCGCCCGAAUGCCAAGCUUAGUUGUGUUCCGCCACCUUGUCGAGGAUUUGAGUGACUCUUGCAAAUAUUUUGUCCCGAAGUUCAAAUUUCUUGCUUUGUGGGAACCAUUUUUCUAGGAAAACAUGCACAAGUUUGCCCCAAGUGUGGAUGGAGUAAGGAAAUAGAUGGUGAAUCCAUUGCCUUGCCUCUCUGCCUAAAGAGUAUUUGAACACCCUCAAUCUUACGACAUCAUUCCAAACAUGAUUCUGCUUAUGCAUUUCACACACACCCAAAAAUAUUUGGGAUGUUAGGAUUAGGCUAUGUUCCACUUUGAAGGUAGCCGCGUCCACUCUAGGAAGGACAAUGGUGUUUGUAUCAUCAACAUACUCAUUCUCAUCUGCAAACACAUUUCUCGGCUCGCCCAUGCUUGCCUAUUGACACCAAACAAAACAAGCAAAGUGUGAUGGAGUAGAAAAAGACGUAAACUAAAGCGCACACCAUUUAGUAAUUUCAAAAUCGUAUUCCCAGGCAACAGCGCCAAAAUUUGAUAUGCCCAAUUACACUUACAUAAAUUGUGUAAAGCAAUCAAUGUCAAAUAUAACAACCUAACUAGGUUAGGGUCGAACCCUACACGGAAUAGGUGUAAAAGGUUACUUGAAUAGUAUGUCACUUGAUAAAAGCCGUAAUUCUACUCCAUUAGUUUGUAAAGAGUGGUAAUUGUGAAUUGUUAAGAGAAGCUAUUUUAUUAAAAGAAUUGAUUAAUUGGAUUAGGAAAUCAAGGUUGUGUCCCCUUGUAUGGAAUUUAAUGUUAUCGGUGUAAAUAUGAUAUAUUUCUAAUUGGAGAUAUGAUAUAUUUCUAAUUGAAGAUCCUUUGAUAUGCAAAUGGUUCCUAAAUGACUAUUCAAUAUUUUCAAUAGUUACGUAGUAUUUCCUCUAUGAUUUUCCCAAAUAUAAAAUAGUUAUAAUUAGUAGCAACCAAUUUAUGCCAAGUAAAACCCAUUUAUUUCUGAAUGGAUCUAUUAAACACAGUUUAAAGUCUUAAAUUCUUGCUAUUCAAUUCUACAAAAUCCUAACCCACUUUUCCAAGUGAAAGAUUAAGUAAAUUGGCACUAGUAAAUGUUUGCAAAUGAAGCAUAAGAAAUGAAUAGAAAUCAAUCAUCCAUUAUAUAUAUAUAUUCAAUGGUAAACACGCAUUAACAUACACCUACUUCGGGUCCAUAAUCUUAGUAUUUAAAGCUAGCUACUCAUACUAAAAUACAAGAACAAAGCAUCAAAGAAAGUCAUAAAAGCUUACAAUGAAGACAGUCUUGGAAUCUAUACGAAAAGCUCCAAAAUUAGUGUAUUCAAUACUCUCAAUGCAGGACCUUUUUCAGACAAGAUGUCCCACAAAAACCCUAGUUAUUCUAUUUAUAAUAGCCUAAACGUCACGAACGAAAUGUGACAAAAAUAGCCCUUCAAGUUAGUAUGUGAUCGCCGAGUGGAGGCAGAAGUGAUCCGCGAUCCGCAAAAUCGUUGCAGCAUUGCAGAUUUGUUCAGCACUUCCAGAUUUCCAUCGCAUAUCAGUUGCUUGGAAUCGCAUAAUCAUCACUUUGGAUUACUGGGUAUUUUUCUUGCAUUUGUGUGACAAUUUGUAAUCCGCACACUGGUUAUGCAACUGCAUAUUUGACUUUUAAAACUGGGCUGGUCUGGAUGCUUGUGCGAUGGAAACGCGGCUCGCACAUUACUUCUGCGAUUGCAUCUGUCGCAAAUCUGAUUUCUUCAUGAUUUUUGACAUCUUUUUCAUGUUCUUGGCUCUUCAAGUCCGGUUUCCUAAAAAACAACAAAAUUAAACAAGAAAUGACUCUUUAAAAGGUAAGCUAAAGUCUAUGAAAUUGGUAUCGAAAAUUGCAUUUCCACAGCAUAUCAACACCCCGAAGGUCUAUUGGAAACAAUCUCUCUACCUGCAUUAGGUAGGGGUAAGGUCUUCGUACAUACUACCCUCCCCAGACAUCACUUGUUGGGAACAUACUAUAUGUCCUCAUGGCAAAUGUGGAAGCCAAGUCGAUAUCUAUAUUACUCCUAGUGUCUGGUUCAGAGAAAUUACGUCUUCUCAAAUUCGAAGGGAGUACAGGAAGAAGGAAGACCUUUAGAGUAGUGUAGGUCAUGUUAGAGAAGAAAAAAUAGCAAAACCGUCGAGGUUCACCCUGAAACAAAGUAGUAAAGGAAGAGGAAUUCUAUUUAUGAAUCACAAUAGAGGGAUUAAAAUGGAAGUUCCAUGACCAAAGAAAGGAACUGAAAUCUCACUUGAAGAAAUAAGAUAACAAACUUGAGUUCCGAUAAUUCAGUGGUUCAUCACUUGGGAAGGGUGGUUGAUGGAUCAAGAGGGUGCAGGAGAUUCAGGCAAUCUGAAUAGAGUGAUUCCCCACAAGAUUGUUCGCCAAAGAAGAUGCCACACAACUGCAUGUGGUAUCAACAGCGAUUGAAUAUGAUGAGGCUUUAUAGUUUACUCCGCUGCCGCAGAUGGUGGAUUUCUAAAAAUAGCGGACAUGGUAGGAAAUCUUCUUUAUGUGCGAGACGAGGCUAGAUAAUGCUGCCAGUGAAAGAAUUAUGAGACAUAACUUAGUUUUGCCGGAACGAUAUUUCAUUGAUUUUUCUUUUUUCGGGAAUAAAACAAAACUAAGAGAAGGGACUCGCUAAAAAAAAGAAAGAAGAAUGAAAAGAUGCAUUUCGGGAAUGAAUCAGCUUGAUUAUUCCCUCAAAUUAUUGGGCUUUAAGUAGUGAUGUACCCAUGCUCUAAAGUAGGAAGGAAUACAAAGAAUGUAUAAUUACAAACUAAGAAUCAUCAUAAUUGAUCCACACAGGUUCUAACUUAUAAUGAAUCUCCCUAAUUGAUAUUGCCUUUACAAUACCUGAAGGAAGUAAGUGAAGUAUCGACACCAUAUUGUGGAUGCCAGGAUAGCGGAAAUAGUGUGAAAAUUUGGUCAAUCAGCAAGUACAAGGAUACACUAGAGAAGGAAUAGAAAAAAAGAAAUAACCCAAAUCAUUAGUGAAACCUAGUGGUGGAGGUGGGAUCCAAGAGAAAUGCAUUACUCUAAGCUACUGCAUUUUCCUUCUAAGAAAGUUCAGGCAAAGAAGCCUAUAGGCUGAGGAGUAAACAGAGGGAAACUGGAUAUCUAACAAGGUAUUUCACGAUUGGUACUAGCAUGCAAUGAGCUGAUGAGCGUUUCUCAUCACAUUAAAUGAAAAUUAACAGAAGAGCACCUGAUAUACAGGGCAAAAGAAUUUAUGUUCUCCACAUGAAUUUUUUGUUCCCUGCUCCAGAUAUCAAGACAUUGAAGCAGAAACAUUGCCAAGACCUUUUCAACAUUACAAAUACCAAUCAUGGAUAGGGAUGAGCUGAAGAAAGGGGUUCACAGCAUCAAACCUCGGUGUGCCAGUGCAUUCCGAAAAAUGUGCAAGUCUAAAAGGCUCCAAACAUUUUCAGUGAUCCCAUGAGACAGCGCAUGAUAAGCUUGUUUAGCAGCUUCUUGAUGUGCUUCCAGAAGUUUUGCAUCAGUAAGAAGGUUGCUGAGAGCUUCAACAAGAAUGUGGCCAGAAACCUGACAGCGCAAAGAAGUCUGACAAGGAUCUCAAAGAGAUAAGAUAAAAAUCAAAUUCAAAGUAAACCCACAAUAAACACUUCAAUAUGAUAUUGUAGCAAAAGGCAAUAAACCUAGAUUCUUGAAGCUUUUGUCAAUCAAUGGAGGCUAUUGACUUAAAGGUUAUAAUCAUAAGAAGUCUUGCUAGUUAUAAGUUCUUAAUUCAUUUUCUAUUAUUAAAUAAUUUAUUGAAUUCUUGCAUUCCCAUAUUCAUAGACACAGAUUUUUUUAAGGGAAAAGGUCCAAAUUUGCCCCUCUAGUAUUGUAUAUUGUUUACAUGUAUCUCCCGUUAUACUUUUCAUCCAUUUCCACCCCUACCGUUAACAAACUUUUCAGAUUUUCCCCAAACCCUAAUGGCCCUACACUGUAGAAGCUGACCCCUCCAAUUUUUUUCCAUGUCAGCUGCCAAGUCAUAUGACACUAUGUCAUUCACCACAUAAUCAGUCAAGAUAUGGGGUGAUUCACCUGAUUCCCACUAUUUUUCAAUCUAUACCCGACCUAUUUCCCUCCAAAUCUGUUCAUUUUCCAUUUUUACUUAUUUCAUUUUCUUCCUCUUUUUCUUUACAUCUCUUUCUUCUUCGUCAAAACACUAUGGCAUCUCCUUCACACCAUUUUCAUCAGAACAAGAAAUUAAACAAACAAUCUAACCCAAAAUGAAAUAACACGACAAUAAUUGAACUUCUAAAUUUGAAUUAAAUUCAUGUGUGGGUCAGAUUCAAGUAAGAUUUGGAAGCCCAUUAUCGAAAAUUUGAAGCCUCAUCCUGGGUUGGGAUUUUUUGCAUAUGAUGUUGAAUUAAACUUUAAGGAUUGAUUUGGUAACCAUAGUAGGAUUGAAAUUUUUUAAAACCCAGUUGAAAAUUAGCAUUAAAUGUGAUUCAUCGGCUUCACCAUUGUUGAACUUUAAGAGCUCCAGAUUUGAAUUUUUUUUUUGAAAGCUGUGUUCUACUAUUGAUUGGCAGCAGUCUUAAAAUUUUGAAUUAAUCAUGUGAGAAUCAUUUCUUGAAUUAAGGAAAGAAAGUAAAAUUAAAAAAGGAACCAAAAAAGAAAAAAUGGUUAGCAAAAUAGAUGAAAGAUUGUGAGGGAAUGAAGGGUGCUGGGGGUGAUAAGGACAAAGUGUGUGAUGGUGUGGGGGAGGGAUCUAAGGCAGCUUAAAGUCCCUUCUUUUCACUUGUUUGUUUCUACGACUUUGCAGCCUUUUUAUUUUUUUAACAAGACUUAGUAGCUGACAUGGAAAAAAAUUGGAGAGGUCAGCUGCUACAGUGUAGGGCCGUUAGGGUUAGGAGAAAAUCUGAAAAGUUUGUUAACGGUAGGGGCGGAAAUGGACGAAAAGUUUAAUGGAGGAUACAUGUAAACAAUAUAAGGGCAAAUCCAGACCUUUCCCCUUUUUUUAAUAAGUAUAAAUAGGAUUUUUGCAACCAGAGUAGAUUGCUAGAGUGGUGAGCACCCUCUACUUCCAACCAAGAGGUUGUGAAUUCGAGUCACCCCAAGAGCAAGGUGAGGAGUUCUUGGAGGGAGAGAUGCCGAGAGCUUAUCGGAAACAGCCUCUCUACCCCAGGGUAGGGAAGGUCUGCGUACACGCUACCCUCUCCAGACCCCACUGGUAGUAUUAUACUGGGUUGAUGUUGUUCUCGUCGUUGUAGGAUUUCUGCAACCAUGCUCUUUCCCACUUCUCAUUUAAUGGCUAUAUACUGUGUUGACUCUUCCUUUUCUCCCUAACAGGUUGGUCAAGCCACUUUCUCCAAUUUAGUGUUUAACAGGAAGCUUACAACUGUUGACCUUGAAAUUUGACUGCAUAGGUCUUGAACCAUUUCAACCACCCCCUUCUUAAUAUAUUCCUGCCAUCCUUCCCUUCCAAUGCAAAGCAUGUAAAAUACACUACGAAUACAGUCCUGUAGAACUCUUGUGCAAAUCAACUGAGUUACACUUGUAAAAGAAAAAAGGAACACAAAUCAACUGAAUUAUAUAGAUCACAGUAAGCUUCCAGACCUGUAAUACUGACAAAGGAUUCAACCGUUGCAUCUGUAUUGCCAUAUAAGAGAAAUGACCAAUAUAAGGACCUGACAAUUAGGCCAAAAGAAAGAACCGAUAUAAAUAUGCAUUAUGCACCAGAUAAGAAUCAAACUUGGAAUUCUACUACAAAAUUAACCAGGCAUUCCAAAGAUCAAAAGCUCUAUUUAAAAGAAGGAAACCAAAAAAGACCAGUCAAAACAGCACAGCCUGCUGCAGCGGCUUCUGAAAUAUUAUGACCAGCUGAACCAGGUAGAAAUGAACCUCCAAUCACGGCUAUUGGUGUUAGUCCGUAUAACUUUUUCAAUUCACCUACAGAGAGAAUGACAAGAAAAUCAGUGACUUUGUUUCAUUUAAAUUUCUGUAUUAACAGGCAAAAAAAGUAUUUCAUCAAUUAAACACUGUAGCUAAUCCUCUUUUUUAUGAAGAUAAGACUGCACCUAAUCUUCUUUAUGUGGACAAACACAUAAUAUAAGGAUAGAUAUAAUGUGGAUUAUGAUAAGAGAGGAUAGAUUUUCUCUCUUUUUUAUUUUGUUUGGGGUUAGAUUUUCGACCUGCUCCUCAUAUGCAAGCUGGCUCUACUCUGUAAACUAAACACAAGGAAAAUUUGUGAGACUCGGAAAUUGGAACUUUUAGCUAUUUGUACCUUGUUGAAGUAUGAGGAUCCAUGUCAUAUAGAAGUUUAAGCAGGUGGCGAGAGACAAGAUCAUUAGUUGGUGAAUACAACACACCUAAUAGUUACAUUAGACGCAUUUUUGCCCACAACUUGAAAAGAGCUUAUCAACAAGUGACAAACUCCAAAACUGUUUCUGAUUUCUAAUGUAGUUAUUCCCAGUUUGUUAGAGAUCCUACUAAAGAAUUCAGAGAAAAAGCGUGACGGAGACCAUCCAACUACUUCACCUACAGAAAAAGAAUAGUGCCACUAACUUUUUGAAUGGAAAAUGCAGAUGGUUAAAACAAGUAGAUCUAAAAGGAAAAUCUCUUAGUCAGCUAGCUUAAAGAAUAUCAUAAAGCAAAAAGAGGUCAACCUAAUGUAUCAACCACAUAUAUGUUUGUUCCUGGCAGGAGCUUAUCAUGACGAGACCUUAAUGCCACCCUUACUCCCUCUUUCUCCAGUUCCUGCAUAAGUUGAAGAAGACUAUCACAAAUCUAGUCUUGAUAAAGCAAGUAAUAUACAAGUUCCAUAUUCUAAGAUAAAGGUCGAUAACAGUGGCGGAGGCAGGAUUUGCUAAGGGGGUUCAAAAAAGAAAAAAUUAUAAAGUUUAAAAGAGACUAUGGCCAGUGGGAAUUGAAGUAGUGACGUCACAAAGGUUUUGAACCCCCUUGAUCACUAAGCUAUGCUUUUGGGAUGUGUCAGGGGGAUUCAAAAUAUAAUCUGAGGUACAAAACAAAUUUUGCAUUAACAUACGGUGUAAUUUUCUGGCGAAGGGGAUUCAGGUGAACCCCCUUGCACCCCCCUAAAUUCGCCCCUGGUCAUAAAGGUCUCUUUGACAUCCAAUCAUGUGAACAUGAGGACAUUUUUAAUGGCAAGAAAGUAGUGCAUGGUCAUGGUUAAUAACUUAAUGAUGCAGUCAAGUUUAAAGUUCAAGAGAGAAAUACUAGAGCAUUUGAAGAGGACAUAGAUGGAUCAUC
rnacentral:lncRNA from 1 species